UAGGGAAUCUUCCGCAAUGGGCGCAAGCCUGACGGAGCAACGCCGCGUGAGUGAUGAAGGUUUUCGGAUCGUAAAGCUCUGUUGCCAAGGAAGAAAUGUUUGGGGAGUAACUGCCCUGAGCUUGACGGUACUUGAGAAGAAAGCCCCGGCUAACUACGUGCCAGCAGCCGCGGUAAUACGUAGGGGGCAAGCGUUGUCCGGAAUUAUUGGGCGUAAAGCGCGCGCAGGCGGUUUUUUAAGUCUGGUGUAUAAUCCACGGGCUCAACCCGUGUUCGCACCGGAAACUGGGAGACUGGAGUGUAGGAGAGGAAAGUGGAAUUCCACGUGUAGCGGUGAAAUGCGUAGAGAUGUGGAGGAACACCAGUGGCGAAGGCGACUUUCUGGCCUAUAACUGACGCUGAGGCGCGAAAGCGUGGGGAGCAAACAGGAUUAGAUACCCUGGUAGUCCACGCCGUAAACGAUGAGUGCUAGGUGUUAGGGGUUUCGAUACCCUUGGUGCCGAAGUUAACACAGUAAGCACUCCGCCUGGGGAGUACGC
rnacentral:rRNA from 1 species